GGUGGGGCGAGGGGAGAAGAAGAAGAGAAGUUGAGGGAGAAGAGAAGAAAAGAAGAAGAGGAGGGAAAAGAAGAGAUUAGGGAGAAGAGGGAGAAGAGAAGAAAAGAAGAAGAAGAAGAAGAAGAGAGGGAAGAUGGAGAGGAGAGAGAGAGAGAGGUAGCAGCUGCAGCUAGGGCUGCAGCACCUCUGUUUCCCGCAGGUGGAAACAGAGGAGAGGAUGUGUGGGGCGUUGGGGAGGAAAAGGGAAGAGGAAGAAGAAGAAGAAGAAGAAGAAGAAGAAGAGAGGAGGAUAGCUGUGGCGAGGCUGCAGCGAGGAGGUGUGUGGCGUUGGGGAGGAAAAAGGAAGAGGAGAAGAAGAGAAGGAGAAGAGAGGGAAGAGGGAGAGGAGCGAGAGGUGGCAGCAGCUAGGGCUGCAGCACCUCUGUUUCCUGCAGGUGGAAACAGAGGAGAGGUGUGGGGCGUUCGAAGAGGAGAAGAAGAAGAAGAGGAAGAGAAGAGGAAGAGGAAGCAGGAGAAGAGGUUGUGAUACCUCUGUUUCCUGCAGAGGAAACAGAGGAGAGGGUGUGUGUGACGCUGGGGAGGAGGAGGGAAGAAGAAGAGGAGAAGAAGAAGAGAAGGGAAAGGAGGAGCUGCGGCUGCGGCGGUGGAAUCUGCAGCUGGAAGAGAAGAGGAAGAGAUGGUGAGGAAGAAGAGAAGAAGUAGAAGCGGGUGAAGAGGCAGCACCUCUGUUUCCUGCAGGAGGAAACAGAGGAAAGGAGGUGCUGUUCGUCGGGGAGAAGAAGGAGAGGAAGAAGAGAAGGGAAAGAAGGGGCUGCGGCUGCGGCGAUGGCAGCUGCAGUUGGAAGAGAAGAAGGAGAGGAAGAUGAGCAGGGGAGGAAGAAGAGGCUGUGGCUGUGGCUGAGGCUGCGACUGCAGCAGUGCAGCUGGGAAAGAAGAGAAGGAAAGGAAGAAGAAGAGAAAGGAAAAGGGAAGAAGAGAGGAAGAGGAGAAGGGGAGGCAGCUGUGGCAGUGGCAGUUGUAGCUGGAAGAGAAGGAGAGGAAAUAGAGCAGGGGAGGAAGAAGAGGCUACGGUUGUGGUGGCUGCGGCCAUGGCUGUGACUGCGACUGCGGCAGUUGCAGCUGGGAAAGAAAGAAAGGAAAGGGAAAAAAGGGGCUGCGGACGGUAAUGCGGCCGCAGUGGCAGCGACUGCGUAUGCAGUAGUUAUGUCUGCGAGAGAAGGGAGCAAGGAAGUAGUACAGUGGAAGGGGCUGCGGUUGUGACAGCAGCUGCGGUUGUGAUAGCAGCUGCAGUCGUGACUACGACUGUGGUAGUGGCAGCGGCGAUGGCUGCAACAACUGUGUUUGAAAAAGAAAACGAAGGAAUGAGAGUAAGAGAGAGCAGGUGGCUAUGCCUCUAUGUUCUGCAUGAGCUGCAAUUGUGGAGGAAAAAGAAAAGACAUGUAGAAAACGAAACAGAGAGAGAGGACACGGAGGAAAAGUAGAAGGAUUUGGGCUGGCACACUCUUUGGAUCUUUGUAUCGAAAUCUUUGAAAGGUCAGCUUGUCACCAUUUGAGAUGUUUGAUUUGGGCUGAGGUAGUGGAUAGCUAUUCAGAAUUAUGGGCAAGUCUUGUUGGUUGUUAUGCUAUUGUUGUAUAAGCAUAUUUUGUAUGUAAUGAAAUGUUGUUGAUGAAUCGAAAUGGAUAUACUGUGUAAAAGUGUUAGAAGAUCUCUCUUAUUUGGAAUUUUGGAAUGUUAAGUCUAACUUAUGACGAUAUGAACUUGUGGUGAAUAGUUGGAGUUCUGAUUGGAUAAUUUAUUUAGCUUGUGGAUUUAUAAAUGUUGUUCGUGUUUGUCAAGUUAGCUUGGGUUGCCAUAAAUGUGAAUUAUCAAGUGAUGUGAUAUAUGAUUAUAAACUGCACAGGUUUUAUAGAUGUGAAUUUGAUAGAAUGUUUUCAGUGUCCUCAAAUGUUAGUCUGGAUCCUGGAUUGGUUUGUGAUGAAAUUGUUUUAAUAUUAUGGAUAAUUUUUUGAGGGGGCGUGACAGAGGUGGUAUCAGAGCAUGGUUUGAGGAUCAUUGAAAUAUUUGAUAUGUUAACGUGCAAAAUAUAUUGAGGUCUAAUGAACUAUAGUGAUUGGUGGAAAUUUUCUUUGAUGUAUUUUAAGAAUCAAGGAUGAUGAGGUAAUUUGGUCCUCCUACUUCAUUUGGUUUUGAUUAAUUAAAUGGGAUGAAAGCGGUAAUCGAGGAUAUUGAAUCAGAGUGGCACAGCAGAAGCAUGGUGGACCUAAUUUCAUUGGUGGUAGAAAAAACGGAUGAUGCAAACAAAGAAGAUAUUUGAUGUACAAAAUUAUUCUGAUAAUAAAAAAUAUUCUUUUGCCACCUUAUAUUUGAAGUAGAGGCUGAUCAUUAAUGGCAAAAAUGAAAAGAAUUUUUGGAGAUCAGUGACAAGAAUGAUAAGGACAAGUUUAGCAAUAAAAAUAUGAUUGGAAAUGAAUCAGAAAGUAAUAACAAGAGGGUCAAGACAUUUGGAUUUGAAAAAGGAAGCCACCAUAAAAAAAAAAAAAACUUAAUCAUGUGUGAAUUGCAGGUUAAAUUAUGAAACAAGUUUGUGCUUUCGGGUGACUGGAGUCUAUUUUGCUUGUAGAAAGUUGGAUCAUAAAAUAAAAGACUGCCCCUUGAACAAAAAGAAAGUGUCACUGCCUCAUAAAUCAUCAGCCCAUGUCAGAGUGUAUACUAUCACUGAAUAUGAUUCUGAAACUUCUGAAGUAGUGGUCGAAGGUAUUAUUCAGGUUUAUGAAAGAAUGCAAAUAUUUGUUUGACCAUGGGUCUCAUCUAUGAUUUGAUUUGGAAUAUUUUGCCUAUCACUUGGGUAUUCAGCCUAGACCACUAGCAUUAUAUGCUAUAUGUAAAUACGAUCAUUGGAGAUUCCCUGAUAAUGAACUUGAAUCUGGUCCUCUUGUCUGAUUUUUAUUGGAGAACUUGAACUUUUGCUGAUUUAGUUCUCCUAGAGAUUUGGAGUUUUGAUAUUAUACUUGGUAUGGAUUGGCUAUCUUCCUAUCAUACCAGUAUGGAUUGGUAUAUAACAAAUGAUCACUUUUUGCAUAUUUGAUCAACCGAUCUUUUAUUUUGAGGGUAUUGGAUAUGAUUUAUCUCCUUGCCUAAUGUAUCCCAAAAUGAUUUGCCUGAAUUACCUCCAAAACGUGACUUUGCUUUUGAUUUGGUCCUUGGGAUAAUCCCAAUAUCUAAGUCUCUCUACACAAUGAUAUCAUUUGAGUAAGUGGAAUUAGAAAAGCAACCACAAGGACUAUUAAAUAAGGAUUUUAUUUGGCUUAAUAUUUCAUCAUGGGGUGCUCUGGUGUUAGUUAAAAAGAUGGAUGGAACAUUGAGACUUUACAUUAAUUUUAGACAAUUGAAUCAGGUGACAAAAAAAAAACGAGUAUUUUCUGAAGUAACGACUUGCUUGAUUUACUGUAGGGUGCACAAGUAUUUUUAGAAAUUGAUCGAAGGUCGGGUUGCCGUCUAUUGAGGAUCAAGGAGGAGAAUAUUUCGAUCAUUCUUGGAUAAUUGUGUCAUUAUAUUGUAUUGAUGAAAUUAUUUGAGAGUAGGAGGAGGAAAUAAGGAUAACAUAAUCCUCAUCUUUUCAUCGAUUGAGCUAUGAUAAAUUUAGAGAACUAAAUUUUCUUUUAAGGAGGGGAGAGUGUAAUAUCCCUCACUUUUGAAAAUUAUUAAUAAGGAUUUAUAUGUAAAUUGGAGGACCUACAUGUAAAUAUAAAAAUUUCAAGGACUAAACUGUUAAAUUGUAAAAAGAAAAAAGAAAAAAAGAAAACCAAAAAUUUCGGUUUUAUCCCACCGCCUCCCACGCUCUCUCUGUUUCCCGCAGGUGGAAACAAAGAGAAGCGGUGGGGCGAGGGGAGAAGAAGAAGAGGAGUUGAGGGAGAAGAGAAGAAAAGAAGAAGAGGAGGGAAAAGAAGAGAUUAGGAAGAAGAGGGAGAAGAGAAGAAAAGAAGAAGAAGAAGAAGAAGAAGAAGAGAGGGAAGAUGGUGAGGAGAGAGAGAGAGAGGUAGCAGCUGCAGCUAGGGCUGCAGCACCUCUGUUUCCCGCAGGUGGAAACAGAGGAGAGGAUGUGUGGGGCGUUGGGGAGGAAAAGGGAAGAGGAAGAGGAAGAAGAAGAAGAAGAAGAAGAAGAAGAAGAAGAAGAGAGGAGGAUAGCUGUGGCGAGGCUGCAGCGAGGAGGUGUGUGGCGUUGGGGAGGAAAAAGGAAGAGGAGAAGAAGAGAAGGAGAAGAGAGGGAAGAGGGAGAGGAGCGAGAGGUGGCAGCAGCUAGGGCUGCAGCACCUCUGUUUCCUGCAGGUGGAAACAGAGGAGAGGUGUGGGGCGUUCGAAGAGGAGAAGAAGAAGAAGAGGAAGAGAAGAGGAAGAGGAAGCAGGAGAAGAGGUUGUGAUACCUCUGUUUCCUGCAGAGGAAACAGAGGAGAGGGUGUGUGUGACGCUGGGGAGGAGGAGGGAAGAAGAAGAGGAGAAGAAGAAGAGAAGGGAAAGGAGGAGCUGCGGCUGCGGCGGUGGAAUCUGCAGCUGGAAGAGAAGAGGAAGAGAUGGUGAGGAAGAAGAGAAGAAGUAGAAGCGGGUGAAGAGGCAGCACCUCUGUUUCCUGCAGGAGGAAACAGAGGAAAGGAGGUGCUGUUCGUCGGGGAGAAGAAGGAGAGGAAGAAGAGAAGGGAAAGAAGGGGCUGCGGCUGCGGCGAUGGCAGCUGCAGUUGGAAGAGAAGAAGGAGAGGAAGAUGAGCAGGGGAGGAAGAAGAGGCUGUGGCUGUGGCUGAGGCUGCGACUGCAGCAGUGCAGCUGGGAAAGAAGAGAAGGAAAGGAAGAAGAAGAGAAAGGAAAAGGGAAGAAGAGAGGAAGAGGAGAAGGGGAGGCAGCAGUGGCAGUGGCAGUUGUAGCUGGAAGAGAAGGAGAGGAAAUAGAGCAGGGGAGGAAGAAGAGGCUACGGUUGUGGUGGCUGCGGCCAUGGCUGUGACUGCGACUGCGGCAGUUGCAGCUGGGAAAGAAAGAAAGGAAACGGGAAAAAAGGGGCUGCGGACGGGAAUGCGGCCGCAGUGGCAGCGACUGCGUAUGCAGUAGUUAUGUCUGCGAGAGAAGGGAGCAAGGAAGUAGUACAGUGGAAGGGGCUGCGGUUGUGACAGCAGCUGCGGUUGUGAUAGCAGCUGCAGUCGUGACUACAACUGUGGUAGUGGCAGCGGCGAUGGCUGCGACAACUGUGUUUGAAAAAGAAAACGAAGGAAUGAGAGUAAGAGAGAGCAGGUGGCUAUGCCUCUAUGUUCUGCAUGAGCUGCAAUUGUGGAGGAAAAAGAAAAGACAUGUAGAAAACGAAACAGAGAGAGAGGACACGGAGGAAAAGUAGAAGGAUUUGGGCUGGCACACUCUUUGGAUCUUUGUAUCGAAAUCUUUGAAAGGCAAGUUUACUGAUCGUUUCUCCUGUAAUUGUUCUAAUCUUUCCUAUUGCAAGUAUCCUGAUCUUUCCUCACUGCAAUUUUAUCUCUAUAUUUGCUUUGAAUAUGAGGAACUUUGAAUUGUUCUAGCCUUGCACUUGAUAUAUCUCCUGUUUAGACGUAACGAUUCGAAUCUGUGCAACUUCCAAGAUUCUGACCUUUCUACCUUGUUAUGAUUAUAACUUCAUGUAUUGACAUCUGAUUUGGACAAAACUUAUUUGAUCAGAAUAUAGACUCAUAAACCUUUGUUUUGAUAGCUUAUUUUAAGAAUUCGGAGUAAGUUUGUCUGCCCAAACUUCUGUUUCAAAUGAGCCUUCAGAUUCUGCAAAAUAGGGAUCGUAAUUUCUGACCUUUUGAUACUGAACUGCUUAUAAGUCCCUGUUACAAACAUUGAUUUAUUCAAAGCUUAUUUCAUUGGAAACUAGACUCAUAGAUCUUUCUUUUGAUAUAUGGAUUGAAAGAUUUGGAAUCCAAACACCUGCCCAGUUAUCUGUUGAAUCUGACAUUAUGAAUUCUGCCAAACAGAGAUUUUGUUCUACGACCCUUGUUUACCAAAUUAUUUGUAACUCUCUCUAUUGGACAGUUCAAUUCAUAUGAAGCCUGUCUUAUCUGAAAGUAUAAUCCAAUGAUAUAUUUAUGAGUAAAUUGGAGCACGAUUGAUAGUUUGAAUCAUUUGUUCAAUGUGCCUCUUGUAUUCUGCCAGAAAUCGAGCUUUGGUCGAUUUCUAAUAUUCUGGUUUCAUUCCUUUGGAAAUUGAUAUCCUUUAGCUUUCUUAUUCAAUUGAACUUUAUAUUACUGCUUUGAAUUCUUGUAUGCUCUUGUCCUUAAAGUUAUUUGCAUUCUUGAAAACUAUUGUGUAACGUUUAUGCUAUAUCGUAUUGACUCAUUUAGGCACAUGUGUAUCCCAUUGUUCCGCAUUUGCUUUCGAUACGUGCCUAUUCCAUUUCCUUUCAAAAUCCGAAUAUCAUUGUGAAAGAUUAUUGCUUACUUCGUAUUGACUCGAAAAGGCACAUGUACGUUUUGUUGUUCCGCGUGUGCUUCCGAUAUAUGCUACUUAUUGAUAAAACUGCCCUCUUGUACUCUGGUGUUUGUGGGAUUGUCUGGACCUUUGCCAGAAAUGGUAAAGGGUGUUAUUCUGGACCUUUGCCAGAAAUGGUAAAGGGUGUUAUUCUGGACCUUUGCCAGAAAUGGUAAAGGGUAUGUGCUUAGAGCCUGCGAUGCUCUGCCAGCCCCCUCUGGCUUCACCUAGACGUGGGUGGAUGGAGCUCCCAGACGUGGGAGACUUCUGUCAGGUGGUCAUUCAGAAAUGGAUGAAUCACAUUCUGACUGAGAUCCCACUACACCUUCUAUAUGUUUGAUAUGAUAUCCAGAGCUUUGGUUAUGUGUUUCGGUACAUGCUUUGGAUAAGAAUGAUAUGAUUGCAACGUCAAAGACGACGUUUGAGCUUCUGUACGGUAUUUGUCAUUGAUAUGCUCUGAAAAGUUUCAUUCAGUGUUGAUAUGCUUCGAAAUGUUCCAUAUGCCGUUGAUAUGCUCCGGAACAUUUCAUACGCCAUUGAUAAGCUCCGAAACAUUUCAUUUGUUAUUGAUAUGCUUCGAAAUGUUCCAUAUGCCAUUGAUAUGCUCCGGAACAAUUCAUAUGCCAUUGAUAAGCUCCGAUAUGUUUCAUUUGUUAUUGAUAUGGUCCGAAAUGUACCAUUUGCCAUUGAUAUGCUCCGGAACAUCUCGUACGCUAUUGAUAUGCUCCAAUUACUCUGUGCUUCAUUUGUUAUGAAUCAAAUAUGUUUUGAAUGACAUGAUACAUAUGAUUUCGUAUCUAAUGAAAUGGUAUCCUUGAGAAUUCUUGUAUUCUGCCUUGCAUUAUGAUACCUUACUUGUUUGAAACCAUUCCUUUUGUUCUGAAUAUGCUUUGUCACUUGCUGAGCUGUUUUUAGCUCAUUCCGUUGUUAUAUAAAUCUUUCAGGUCAGCUUGUCACCAUUUGAGAUGUUUGAUUUGGGCUGAGGUAGUGGAUAGCUAUUCAGAAUUAUGGGCAAGUCUUGUUGGUUGUUAUGCUAUUGUUGUAUAAGCAUAUUUUGUAUGUAAUGAAAUGUUGUUGAUGAAUCGAAAUGGAUAUACUGUGUAAAAGUGUUAGAAGAUCUCUCUUAUUUGGAAUUUUGGAAUGUUAAGUCUAACUUAUGACGAUAUGAACUUGUGGUGAAUAGUUGGAGUUCUGAUUGGAUAAUUUAUUUAGCUUGUGGAUUUAUAAAUGUUGUUCGUGUUUGUCAAGUUAGCUUGGGUUGCCAUAAAUGUGAAUUAUCAAGUGAUGUGAUAUAUGAUUAUAAACUGCACAGGUUUUAUAGAUGUGAAUUUGAUAGAAUGUUUUCAGUGUCCUCAAAUGUUAGUCUGGAUCCUGGAUUGGUUUGUGAUGAAAUUGUUUUAAUAUUAUGGAUAAUUUUUUGAGGGGGCGUGACAGAGGUGGUAUCAGAGCAUGGUUUGAGGAUCAUUGAAAUAUUUGAUAUGUUAACGUGCAAAAUAUAUUGAGGUCUAAUGAACUAUAGUGAUUGGUGGAAAUUUUCUUUGAUGUAUUUUAAGAAUCAAGGAUGAUGAGGUAAUUUGGUCCUCCUACUUCAUUUGGUUUUGAUUAAUUAAAUGGGAUGAAAGCGGUAAUCGAGGAUAUUGAAUCAGAGUGGCACAGCAGAAGCAUGGUGGACCUAAUUUCAUUGGUGGUAGAAAAAACGGAUGAUGCAAACAAAGAAGAUAUUUGAUGUACAAAAUUAUUCUGAUAAUAAAAAAUAUUCUUUUGCCACCUUAUAUUUGAAGUAGAGGCUGAUCAUUAAUGGCAAAAAUGAAAAGAAUUUUUGGAGAUCAGUGACAAGAAUGAUAAGGACAAGUUUAGCAAUAAAAAUAUGAUUGGAAAUGAAUCAGAAAGUAAUAACAAGAGGGUCAAGACAUUUGGAUUUGAAAAAGGAAGCCACCAUAAAAAAAAAAAAAAACUUAAUCAUGUGUGAAUUGCAGGUUAAAUUAUGAAACAAGUUUGUGCUUUCGGGUGACUGGAGUCUAUUUUGCUUGUAGAAAGUUGGAUCAUAAAAUAAAAGACUGCCCCUUGAACAAAAAGAAAGUGUCACUGCCUCAUAAAUCAUCAGCCCAUGUCAGAGUGUAUACUAUCACUGAAUAUGAUUCUGAAACUUCUGAAGUAGUGGUCGAAGGUAUUAUUCAGGUUUAUGAAAGAAUGCAAAUAUUUGUUUGACCAUGGGUCUCAUCUAUGAUUUGAUUUGGAAUAUUUUGCCUAUCACUUGGGUAUUCAGCCUAGACCACUAGCAUUAUAUGCUAUAUGUAAAUACGAUCAUUGGAGAUUCCCUGAUAAUGAACUUGAAUCUGGUCCUCUUGUCUGAUUUUUAUUGGAGAACUUGAACUUUUGCUGAUUUAGUUCUCCUAGAGAUUUGGAGUUUUGAUAUUAUACUUGGUAUGGAUUGGCUAUCUUCCUAUCAUACCAGUAUGGAUUGGUAUAUAACAAAUGAUCACUUUUUGCAUAUUUGAUCAACCGAUCUUUUAUUUUGAGGGUAUUGGAUAUGAUUUAUCUCCUUGCCUAAUGUAUCCCAAAAUGAUUUGCCUGAAUUACCUCCAAAACGUGACUUUGCUUUUGAUUUGGUCCUUGGGAUAAUCCCAAUAUCUAAGUCUCUCUACACAAUGAUAUCAUUUGAGUAAGUGGAAUUAGAAAAGCAACCACAAGGACUAUUAAAUAAGGAUUUUAUUUGGCUUAAUAUUUCAUCAUGGGGUGCUCUGGUGUUAGUUAAAAAGAUGGAUGGAACAUUGAGACUUUACAUUAAUUUUAGACAAUUGAAUCAGGUGACAAAAAAAAAACGAGUAUUUUCUGAAGUAACGACUUGCUUGAUUUACUGUAGGGUGCACAAGUAUUUUUAGAAAUUGAUCGAAGGUCGGGUUGCCGUCUAUUGAGGAUCAAGGAGGAGAAUAUUUCGAUCAUUCUUGGAUAAUUGUGUCAUUAUAUUGUAUUGAUGAAAUUAUUUGAGAGCAGGAGGAGGAAAUAAGGAUAACAUAAUCCUCAUCUUUUCAUCGAUUGAGCUAUGAUAAAUUUAGAGAACUAAAUUUUCUUUUAAGGAGGGGAGAGUGUAAUAUCCCUCACUUUUGAAAAUUAUUAAUAAGGAUUUAUAUAUAAAUUGGAGGACCUACAUGUAAAUAUAAAAAUUUCAAGGACUAAACUGUUAAAUUGUAAAAAGAAAAAAGAAAAAAAGAAAACCAAAAAUUUCGGUUUUAUCCCACCGCCUCCCACGCUCUCUCUGUUUCCCGCAGGUGGAAACAAAGAGAAGCGGUGGGGCGAGGGGAGAAGAAGAAGAGGAGUUGAGGGAGAAGAGAAGAAAAGAAGAAGAGGAGGGAAAAGAAGAGAUUAGGAAGAAGAGGGAGAAGAGAAGAAAAGAAGAAGAAGAAGAAGAAGAAGAAGAGAGGGAAGAUGGUGAGGAGAGAGAGAGAGAGGUAGCAGCUGCAGCUAGGGCUGCAGCACCUCUGUUUCCCGCAGGUGGAAAUAGAGGAGAGGAUGUGUGGGGCGUUGGGGAGGAAAAGGGAAGAGGAAGAGGAAGAAGAAGAAGAAGAAGAAGAAGAAGAAGAAGAAGAGAGGAGGAUAGCUGUGGCGAGGCUGCAGCGAGGAGGUGUGUGGCGUUGGGGAGGAAAAAGGAAGAGGAGAAGAAGAGAAGGAGAAGAGAGGGAAGAGGGAGAGGAGCGAGAGGUGGCAGCAGCUAGGGCUGCAGCACCUCUGUUUCCUGCAGGUGGAAACAGAGGAGAGGUGUGGGGCGUUCGAAGAGGAGAAGAAGAAGAAGAGGAAGAGAAGAGGAAGAGGAAGCAGGAGAAGAGGUUGUGAUACCUCUGUUUCCUGCAGAGGAAACAGAGGAGAGGGUGUGUGUGACGCUGGGGAGGAGGAGGGAAGAAGAAGAGGAGAAGAAGAAGAGAAGGGAAAGGAGGAGCUGCGGCUGCGGCGGUGGAAUCUGCAGCUGGAAGAGAAGAGGAAGAGAUGGUGAGGAAGAAGAGAAGAAGUAGAAGCGGGUGAAGAGGCAGCACCUCUGUUUCCUGCAGGAGGAAACAGAGGAAAGGAGGUGCUGUUCGUCGGGGAGAAGAAGGAGAGGAAGAAGAGAAGGGAAAGAAGGGGCUGCGGCUGCGGCGAUGGCAGCUGCAGUUGGAAGAGAAGAAGGAGAGGAAGAUGAGCAGGGGAGGAAGAAGAGGCUGUGGCUGUGGCUGAGGCUGCGACUGCAGCAGUGCAGCUGGGAAAGAAGAGAAGGAAAGGAAGAAGAAGAGAAAGGAAAAGGGAAGAAGAGAGGAAGAGGAGAAGGGGAGGCAGCAGUGGCAGUGGCAGUUGUAGCUGGAAGAGAAGGAGAGGAAAUAGAGCAGGGGAGGAAGAAGAGGCUACGGUUGUGGUGGCUGCGGCCAUGGCUGUGACUGCGACUGCGGCAGUUGCAGCUGGGAAAGAAAGAAAGGAAACGGGAAAAAAGGGGCUGCGGACGGGAAUGCGGCCGCAGUGGCAGCGACUGCGUAUGCAGUAGUUAUGUCUGCGAGAGAAGGGAGCAAGGAAGUAGUACAGUGGAAGGGGCUGCGGUUGUGACAGCAGCUGCGGUUGUGAUAGCAGCUGCAGUCGUGACUACAACUGUGGUAGUGGCAGCGGCGAUGGCUGCGACAACUGUGUUUGAAAAAGAAAACGAAGGAAUGAGAGUAAGAGAGAGCAGGUGGCUAUGCCUCUAUGUUCUGCAUGAGCUGCAAUUGUGGAGGAAAAAGAAAAGACAUGUAGAAAACGAAACAGAGAGAGAGGACACGGAGGAAAAGUAGAAGGAUUUGGGCUGGCACACUCUUUGGAUCUUUGUAUCGAAAUCUUUGAAAGGUCAGCUUGUCACCAUUUGAGAUGUUUGAUUUGGGCUGAGGCAGUGGAUAGCUAUUCAGAAUUAUAGGCAAGUCUUGUUGGUUGUUAUGCUAUUGUUGUAUAAGCAUAUUUUGUAUGUAAUGAAAUGUUGUUGAUGAAUCGAAAUGGAUAUACUGUGUAAAAGUGUUAGAAGAUCUCUCUUAUUUGGAAUUUCGGAAUGUUAAGUCUAACUUAUGACGAUAUGAACUUGUGGUGAAUAGUUGGAGUUUUGAUUGUAUAAUUUAUUUAGCUUGUGGAUUUAUAAAUGUUGUUCGUGUUUGUCAAGUUGGCUUGGGUUGCCAUAAAUGUGAAUUAUUGAGUGAUGUGAUAUAUGAUUAUAAACUGCACAGGUUUUA